rnacentral:RNase_P_RNA from 1 species
AAUGAGUGAGGAAAGUCCGGGCUUUACAGAGCAAGCUGCCAGAUAACGUCUGGGAGGCGUGAGCCUACGGAAAGUGCAACAGAAAAUAUCCCGCCUUAUUUUUUAAGGUAAGGGUGAAAAGGUGUGGUAAGAGCGCACCGCAUUGGUGGUAACACUCAAUGGCAUUUUAAACCCCAUCUAAAGCAAGACCAAAUAGUGCCACUAUGAUGUUGCUCGCAUCGUUGCAGGGUAGGUCGCUUG